rnacentral:rRNA from 1 species
AGUGAACGCUGGCGGUAGGCCUAACACAUGCAAGUCGAACGGCAGCACAGUAAGAGCUUGCUCUUACGGGUGGCGAGUGGCGGACGGGUGAGGAAUACAUCGGAAUCUACUUUUUCGUGGGGGUUAACGUAGGGAAACUUACGCUAAUACCGCAUACGACCUACGGGUGAAAGCAGGGGAUCUUCGGACCUUGCGCGAUUGAAUGAGCCGAUGUCGGAUUAGCUAGUUGGCGGGGUAAUGGCCCACCAAGGCGACGAUCCGUAGCUGGUCUGAGAGGAUGAUCGGCCACCCUGGAACUGAGACACGGUCCAGACUACUACGGGAGGCAGCAGUGGGGAAUAGUGGACAAAAGGCGCAAGCCUGAUCCAGCCAUACCGCGUGGGUGAAGAAGGCCUUCGGGUUGUAAAGCCCUUUUGUUGGGAAAGAAAAGCAGCAGGUUAAUACCCCGCUGUUCUGACGGUACCCAAAGAAUAAGCACCGGCUAACUUCGUG